GCCGCUAUGGUGAAACUGGUAGACACGCUGCUCUUAGGAAGCAGUGCGAAAGCAUCUCGGUUCGAGUCCGAGUGGCGGCA
rnacentral:tRNA from 5 species